CAUGGAUCAGUGUGAGGACAGAGAGGAGGGAGUCCCUCCCUCUACAAGCUCUCUGUGUGGAGAACAGGAGAACCAGAGCAGAGCUCAGAGAAUCCAUCAGAGAUCAGAUUCCUCUGGACCUGGAUCUGAACCCAGCUGUGUGUCCUGAAAGAGCAACCAGUCGAUGGAAUUUCCUAUUACUUUUAAAGGAGAACCACCUCCUGCUGCAGAGCGGUAAGAUGUUCUGAACAUCAAGUUUUUAGAGGUGCUGGUCUGACAGCAGAUCGGCUCCUCAACAAACAGAACAAGUGUCUUCAAGAAGUGACGCUGAUGAACUGGAGAGCAUCCACAGAGACAUUAGAAACAGAACAAGGUGGAUCACGACAACAACUCGUUCAUUAAAAUAACGGCAAAUAUUCGUUACUGGAUAUAUCUCCAGUUUUAUGAGCACACAGAAAACAUAAUGAUAAAGGUUCAUGUUAGCUUGUAUGUUAGCUGAUAGGGUGAAUGUUUUAUUGCUGAUGGAGAAGACAGAGAAAUGUUAUUUGUUGACUGGUUGCUGUUACUGGGAGAUCGAGUGGAGAGGAGAGGUUGAGAUAUCAGUGAGUUACAGAGUAAUCAGAAGGAGAGGAUACAGUAAAGAUUGUGUGUUUGGACGUAAUAAUCAGUCCUGGAGUCUGACCUGCUCUGAACGUGGUUACUCUGUUAUUCACAAUAACAGAUGGACAUCCAUCAGGUCUUCAGUCUCUAACAGAGUAUCAGUUUAUGUGGACUGUCCUGCUGGAACUCUGUCCUUCUACAGAGUCUCCUCUGGCUCUCUGAUCCACCUCCACACCUUCAACACCACAUUCACUGAACCUCUGUAUCCU